CACGUAGGGCGCAAGCGUUGUCCGGAAUUAUUGGGCGUAAAGAGCUCGUAGGCGGUUUGUCGCGUCUGCUGUGAAAACUCGGGGCUUAACCCCGGGCCUGCAGUGGGUACGGGCAGACUAGAGUGCGGUAGGGGAGACUGGAAUUCCUGGUGUAGCGGUGAAAUGCGCAGAUAUCGGGAAGAACACCUAUGGCGAAGGCAGCUCUCUGGGACGGUACUGACGCUGAGACGCGAAAGCGUGGGGAGCGAACAGG
rnacentral:rRNA from 1 species